rnacentral:rRNA from 1 species
CAGGAGGAUCUUUGGUUGUCAGCCUUCAAUGCUGGAAUUCAGUGGGACAAUUUUAAUUAGACGAAGGAGUUUAAUUGGAACUUUGAAAAUUUAGAGGCAGCUCUAAAACAAGGCGGAGAUCUUUAUGAGAAGAGAGUUCACUUAUUUGGAAGUACCGAGUCUCACCUAUUAGAUAUCGGAGGUACAGUAAGGACAGUACAUGUUCCAGUUAUAGUUGCUGUUGACUGUCCUUUCACUCCAUUAUCUACAAUUGGUUUUACGCCAUUGACUCUUGAUGGCGAAGAUUCAGUUAUAAGUGUCACAUACCCUCUAGCACCGCCGAUGGUGUGGGAAUUUGACUGGGAAAUGGACAGUUACGAGGAAUUUGUUCAUAAUGUGGUCUUGCCAGAGAACGAGAAAGAAACCUUGAAGUUAUUGCUAAAGGCUGUUCAAGAAAGGAAGAAGCAGGCUAAAGAAGAAAGGAUGAAAGCUAUUGAUGCUAUGGAUCCUGAGACAAAGAAGGCAUAUGCAGAUAUCCGAUUUUACAAAUUUUAUCCUGUUAAAACCUGGGAUACUCCUAAUGUAAAGUUCAACAAGUCAAACUAUAUUGGUAAAUUUUGCCGAAAUGCACAUUUUCUAAUGUGA